rnacentral:lncRNA from 1 species
GUCAACCGAGCAAACUAGGCCAAAAAUAAAUCCAAAAUAAAUUAAAAAUGGGAAAUAAAAUUCCAAUAAAAGGUCAGGUUGACCAUGAGACAUUGGUCAACCCUCAUCCCAAAAAUCGGAAAUUAAAAAUAAUUCUAAGUCAUGAAAAUAAAAUAAAUGAAACAAAGUAUGCUCAAAAGAACCAUUUGAAAUAAAUAAUUGAAAUAAAAUAUUAACAUUAAAUAAAAUAUGAAAAUAAAAAUUAAAUAAAUUAAAUAAAACAUUAAAGAAUGUAAAAAAUAUUUUUUGGUAUUUUUAUGAAUAAAUAAAAUAUUUUUAUUAAUUAAAAACGAAAACUGCAAAAUAAAAUAAGAAUAACAAAAUAAAAAAGAAAAUGAAUGGAUAAUGUGAGUGGGCCAGCGCAGGGGGUGGGAACAGCAGUGUGAUACCAAGGCCCAGCCCACGGAAUUGCCAGCGUUACAUCCAAAAAUAAAAUAAAAACAAUGUUUAGCAUUAACUUGAUAAAUUUCGCUUAUGCUUUAGCGGAUGAAACAAGGCGCUGGUAACGGGACAGACAUGGGUUCAAACCAUGUUUGUGCUAUUUUUAUACAUAAAAUAAAAAAAUAAAAAUAAAAAAAUAAAAAAGUAUUCACUACGUGACAAAAACAGACUUCCAGCAAUACAUGCAGUACAAACUUCCAGCAAGAAAAGCAAAAACAAAAAAUAAAAUAAAAUAAAUGUAGGUGCUCACUACAAUACAUGCAGUUCAAACUUCCAGCAAGAAAAGCAAAAACAAAAUGCAGCAUAUACAACUUCCACUUCCAGCAAGAAAAAAAACAAAACCUCCAUGCAAUCUUUAUUUCCCCCAACAUUUUUCUCAAUUUAGUGCAUCAAAUGGCAUGGUGUAAAAAGUAAAACUCAAGUAUAAAAUGAGUAGAAUGCAAUGGAGCUUUAUUUUAUACAAAAUAAUGACUUUAUCAUAGAGAAAUAUGGACCACAAGGUAGGCUCAUGCAAAGAUUUUC